GCGGGGAGCGGCGCGGCGGUGGCUGGCGGGGCUGGGCUGGGCUGGGCUGGGCGAGCACUGCGCGCCGGCGGCUGUGACGGGGCAGAGCGCACGACGCCGCCGCCGCCUACGCGCGAGCCGCUACAACCUCCGACCGUCGUCGCCGCCGGCACAGGAGGGGGGCCAAGACGUCUCUCCAACGCGGGGCGAGCGCAGGACCGCGCCAGGCGUCCAAAAGAAGGAAGAUGCCUCGCGGCGACAGGGAAAGCGACUGGAGGGAAAAGGAGCAGUUCCGCAAACUGUUUAUUGGCGGUUUGAGCUUUGAAACCACAGAAGAAAGCUUGAGGAGUUACUAUGAGCAAUGGGGAAAGCUUACAGACUGUGUGGUAAUGAGGGAUCCUGCAAGCAAAAGAUCAAGGGGGUUUGGUUUUGUAACAUUCUCUUCCAUGGCUGAAGUUGAUGCAGCUAUGGCUGCAAGACCUCACACGAUUGAUGGAAGGGUGGUUGAGCCUAAGAGAGCUGUGGCUAGAGAGGAAUCUGGGAAACCUGGUGCUCAUGUUACUGUGAAAAAAUUAUUUGUUGGUGGUAUUAAAGAGGACACUGAAGAGCACCACCUUCGUGACUACUUUGAGGAGUAUGGAAAAAUCGACACUAUUGAAAUCAUUACUGACAGACAGUCUGGUAAAAAGAGAGGGUUUGGAUUUGUUACAUUUGAUGACCAUGAUCCUGUGGAUAAAAUUGUAUUGCAGAAGUACCACACCAUCAAUGGACAUAAUGCAGAAGUAAGGAAAGCUCUCUCUAGACAGGAAAUGCAGGAGGUUCAAAAUUCCAGGAGUGGCAGAGGAGGGAACUUUGGUUUUGGAGAUGCUCGUGGAGGUGGUGGCAACUUCGGUCCAGGACCUGGCAGCAAUUUCAGAGGGGGAGCCGGUAAGACAGAUGGAUAUGGAAGUGGCCGUGGAUUUGGUGAUGGAUAUAAUGGAUAUGGCGGAGGACCUGGAGGUGGCAACUUUGGUGGCAGUCCCGGUUAUGGAGGAGGAAGAGGAGGCUAUGGUGGAGGAGGACCUGGUUAUGGCAACCAGGGUGGGGGCUAUGGAGGUGGUUAUGACAACUAUGGAGGAGGCAAUUAUGGAAGUGGAAACUAUAAUGAUUUUGGCAACUACAACCAACAACCCUCAAAUUAUGGUCCGAUGAAGAGUGGAAAUUUUGGUGGCAGCAGGAACAUGGGGGGACCAUAUGGUGGAGGAAACUAUGGUCCCGGGGGCAGUGGAGGAAGUGGUGGAUAUGGAGGGAGGAGCCGUUAUUGAGUUUCUUCAAGCAUGCCAUGGGCUUCACUGUAUAAAUAGGAGAGGAUGAGAGCCCAGAGGUAACAGAACAGCUUCAGGUUAUCGAAAUAACAAUGUUAAGGAAACACUUACUCAGUCAUGCAUAAAUAUGCAGUGAUAUGGCAGAAGACACCAGAGCAGAUGCAGAGAGCCAUUUUGUGAAUGGAUUUGGAUUAUUUAAUAACAUUACCUUACUGUGGAGGAAGGAUUGUAAAAAUGCCUUUGAGACAGUUUCUUAGCUUUUUAAUUGUUGUUUCUUUCUAGUGGUCUUUGUAAGUGUAGAAGCAUUCCUUUGAUAAUGUUAAAUUUGUAAGUUUCAGGUGACAUGUGAAACCUUUUUUAAGAUUUUUCUCAAAGUUUUGAAAAGCUUUUAGCCAGGAUCAUGGUGUAAUAAGACAUAACGUUUUCCUUUUAAAAAUUUAAGUGCGUGUGUAGAGUUAAGAAGCUGUUGUACAUUUAUGAUUUUAAUAAAAUAAUUCUAAAGGAAAUAUUGUGUAAUUUUAGAUUUUUUUUUUUAAUACUGUAAAAUAAGGCAAGGAGUGGGUAGUAUAAGGUCCCACAAAUAAUACAAAGCUAUUGUUGUACGUGUAAAAUUUAAUGCUGGUGAGAAAAAGUAUGUUGUCUGUAAAUUACCAGGUUUAAAAUAUCUAGGUAACUUAAGGGGUAUCUCUGCAAGGAGAAACACCUUUUUAGAUUUUUUAGAUGCUGCUUCUUCAAUGGCAAGGAAAGGAAAAAACCCCAGCAAGGUACUCUUCCAGGGACGCAGGUCUAGUACAAGAGAACUCUUGAAAACGUCACUAAAAGUUCAGCCAGUCUUAAAAAGCUGUGCUGUAUGUCUGCAAAGCUUUAACUACGGUAGAUUGUUUAUAAGGAUGGCAACGAAGGCUGAGGGUGUAGAGCAAAAUAGUUCUAAGCUUCAGUUAAACUUCUUUAGCUAUGAUAUGAACCCUGGACAAGCAUAGACUGCUGCCACUGUACACUGCUACAGUUGAACAAAUGAGACCUGCAAGUGUCCAUUAGUAAAGCUUUGCAAGGGUUCCAUCCCUGGUGUUGGUAGUUAAAAUGGAAGGUGCCAUGCUGCAGGUAACUAAUGAAGAAGUGGUCAACCACAGAAACGCUUCAAGAAAUAAGAAAUUCUGUAUCAUCAGAAAAUAGUUGUUUUUGCUGCCUUCAUUAAAAAUCUAGAGGUUAAAUGAAUACUGAUAAAACAUCACAAUUAGUACAGCUCCCUGUAAUGAUGGGUUUUUUAAAUUAUAGUAAUAAUGUCUUGUAAACCUUUCGAAUAAAAUUCAGAUUCGUUAGGAGAAACAAAUCACUAAUGUUAAAAUAGCAAACAUUCUGUGAGUAGAAAGUUUAACUACAUAUAUUUAUAACUUUCAUAGCUUUAAAAUAAAGUAUUUUUAUACCAAA